rnacentral:rRNA from 1 species
UGGGGAAUUUUGCACAAUGGGGGAAACCCUGAUGCAGCGACGCCGCGUGAUUUAGAAGGCCUUCGGGUUGUAAAAAUCUUUUCUAUGGGAAGAAAAUGACAGUACCAUAGGAAUAAGGACCGGCUCAUUACGUGCCAGCAGCCGCGGUAAUACGUAAGGUCCGAGCGUUGUCCGGAAUCAUUGGGCGUAAAGGGUACGUAGGCGGGUAAGCAAGUUAGAAGUGAAAUCCUAUAGCUCAACUAUAGUAAGCUUUUAAAACUGCUCAUCUUGAGGUAUGGAAGGGAAAGUGGAAUUCCGAGUGUAGCGGUGAAAUGCGCAGAUAUUAGGAGGAAUACCGGUGGGGAAAGCGACUUUCUGGCCAUAACCUGACGCUGAGGUACGAAAGCGUGGGUAACAAACAGG